ensembl:lncRNA
CUUUACUUCUUUUAUCACUGGACAAGUGUAUACAUAUAUUUAAGCUCUUUUUUUCCCUACUCAUUACGAGAUUCACCUUUUGACAACUACCACUCCACAAAGAGGUUUUUCUCAAGAGGUAAAGAGUUAAAUUUCUCUAAAUCUACUCCCUGGGAUGAAGAAACUAACACUCAGAGAAGAGCUUGUACAAAGUAACAAACCUCAUGAAUGACAUCUAGAUUUAUAUCCAAUUUCUCAAAGGUCUUUCUCAGAUUCUGAGUGUCUCCUGCUGGGCAGUUAUGGCCUAUGACUGGUACAAGGCCAUCAGCAGCCCUUUGCUCUAUGUGGUCAGCAUGUCCAGCAGGGUGUGCUCCCUGCUCCUGGCUGGGGUUUAUCUGUCACUUAACUGUGCUCCAGACCGUAUCUGCUUUACUUACCCCUGUAAAUCCCACACCCAGCACAAACAAGACUCAACAAAUUUGUGGCUGAAGAGGCAGGAACAUACCCUGUCCUCAAGGAGAUGAAGCCGAGCAAGAUGGGAGCCUGAUGAUAACCCUGUGUGAUGAGGAGGCCCCAGGAGGACCUGUGUGGCUGUGGGGUGGGGUGGGGGGCAUUGGCAGAACCCCUGAUGAGCUCCUGGGGAUGGAGAAAGUGGCAGGAAGGAGGGGGUCUGUUCCUUGUGGGGUGUCCACAGAUUGUACCUCACCCUUUACUGAUGAGCACUUAGGCCAUUUUCAAACACGUGUCACUGUUCUGGAGGAAACAAUCAUUGCCCAGCUCCUACUCAAUCAAUUUCGUAGAUAUGUCUCUAGCAUUGGAGUAUAAACGUCUGCUUUAUUCAUUCCAUGCUCUGUUCAUCCACCCAUCCAGCCAGCCAUCUGUUCAUCCAUCCAUCCACUCACUAAUCAAUCCAUCCAUCCACUCUUAAUUCAUCCGAUCAUCUCAGACCCAUUGAGAAGACAGACGCCUCCUCCGCUCCUGCUCCCAGGAGGACACCCAGUGUGAGUGACAGGAGCCUCGUGGGGAUAAGGGGGGGAGACACAGAAGGGACAUGCCUGCAG